rnacentral:rRNA from 1 species
GAUGAACGCUGGCGGCGUGCCUAAUACAUGCAAGUCGAGCGAACGGACGAGAAGCUUGCUUUUCUGAUGUUAGCGGCGGACGGGUGAGUAACACGUGGAUAACCUACCUAUAAGACUGGGAUAACUUCGGGAAACCGGAGCUAAUACCGGAUAAUAUUUUGAACCGCAUGGUUCAAAAGUGAAAGACGGUCUUGCUGUCACUUAUAGAUGGAUCCGCGCUGCAUUAGCUAGUUGGUAAGGUAACGGCUUACCAAGGCAACGAUGCAUAGCCGACCUGAGAGGGUGAUCGGCCACAAUAGAACUGAGACGCGGUCCAGACUCCUACGGGAGGCAGCAGUAGGGAAUCUUCCGCAAUGGGCGAAAGCCUGACGGAGCAACGCCGCGGGAGGGAUGAAGGUCUUCGGAUCGUAAAACUCUGUUAUUAGGGAAGAACAUAUGUGUAAGUAACUGUGCACAUCUUGACGGUACCUAAUCAGAAAGCCACGGCUAACUACGUG